UACGGAAGGCAGCAGUGGGGAAUAUUGCACAAUGGGCGAAAGCCUGAUGCAGCUAUGCCGCGUGUAUGAAGAAGGCCUUAGGGUUGUAAAGUACUUUCAUCGGGGAGGAAAAAACAAAACUAAUAAUUUUAUUUCUUGACGUUACCCGAAAAAGAAGCACCGACUAACUCCGUGCCAGCAGCCGCGGUAAUACGGAGGGUGCUAGCGUUAAUCAGAAUUACUGGGCGUAAAGAGCACGUAGGUGGUUUUUUUAAAGUCAGAUGUGAAGUCCCUGGGCUUAACCUAGGAACUGCAUUUUGAAACUGAAAUACUAGAGUAUCGUAGAGGGAGGUAGAAUUCUAGGUGUAGCGGUGAAAUGCGUAGAUAUCUGGAGGAAUACCUGUGGCGAAAGCGGCCUCCUAAACGAAUACUGACACUGAGGUGCGAAAGCGUGGGGAGCAAACAGGGAUUAGAUACC
rnacentral:rRNA from 1 species